rnacentral:tRNA from 1 species
AAUAAGAAGCAAUUUUGCAUUUAGUUUCGACCUAAAAGAAAGAUGAUUAUUUCAUCCUUAUUU